rnacentral:rRNA from 1 species
GAUGAACGCUGGCGGCGUGCCUAAUACAUGCAAGUCGAACGCAUAGCGAAAGGUGCUUGCACCUUUCAAGUGAGUGGCGAACGGGUGAGUAACACGUGGACAACCUGCCUCAAGGCUGGGGAUAACAUUUGGAAACAGAUGCUAAUACCGAAUAAAACUUAGUGUCGCAUGACACAAAGUUAAAAGGCGCUUCGGCGUCACCUAGAGAUGGAUCCGCGGUGCAUUAGUUAGUUGGUGGGGUAAAGGCCUACCAAGACAAUGAUGCAUAGCCGAGUUGAGAGACUGAUCGGCCACAUUGGGACUGAGACACGGCCCAAACUACUACGGGAGGCUGCAGUAGGGAAUCUUCCACAAUGGGCGAAAGCCUGAUGGAGCAACGCCGCGUGUGUGAUGAAGGCUUUCGGGUCGUAAAGCACUGUUGUAUGGGAAGAACAGCUAGAAUAGGAAAUGAUUUUAGUUUGACGGUACCAUACCAGAAAGGGACGGCUAAAUACGUG